AAAACGGUAGGUUUGAUUUGAAAAAAAAAUCCAAAUGGUUCUUGAGUUAAAAUCAAACGGUAGGUUUGAUUCUCCAAACUCAAAAUCUUUCAAUCCCCAAAUUCUCUCUUUCUAUCUCUCUCACACUCCUUUGAAACACUAAUUCAGAGAUAGUUUCUUGAUUAGGGUUCUUUGUUAUCACUAUCGCUUCUUUAAUCUUUCAUUAUCACUAAUUCAUAAUCGAUUCAUUCUGCCCAAUUUGUUUUCUCUUUGCGACACUCUUUCCUUCUCCGUCAUUCAUCAUAACGCAACGCUAAAAAAACCUCACAACACGUUCGUGUAACUCGCUCACUCGAUUCGUUCGCGUAACUCGUUCUCUUCGGUUUCGAUUUUUUCAUCAUGCCGAAGGCUAAAGUUGAUUCCAAACCCGCAGGUAAAUCGUUUCUAUCAGUUCUUUCUUCUUUUUCUUUUUUGCGAUUUUCUGAUUUUGAUUUUUAGGUUUUAGAUGAACAAUUUUCAUCAACAAUUUGUAAUGGAUAGUUCGUUCGAUCUGGUUUUUAUUUCGAUUUGAAUCUUGAAUCAAUUUGAUAUAUGAUUUCUUUUUUUUCUUUUUUGUCGGAUAAUAUAUAAUUUGAAUCUUGAAUUAAUUUGAUGUCCA
rnacentral:lncRNA from 1 species